AGAGAGAGAGAGAGAGAGAGAGAGAGAGAGAGAGCAACUCCAAAGGGAAGGGCAAUAAGGUCUUUUCGAUGUUGUUUAGCUGUUGCUGUUGGGCCUCGUGAGUCGACACCUCUCAUUUACUUCUGCAACGGGCGACGUCAGAAGUCUAGGCUUUUAUUUCCCUUUUCUUCCCCUUCUAAUCUCUCUCUUUGUUUCUUUUCUUUUCUUUUCUUUUCUUUUUGUUGUUUGUCACUUGCUUAAUGUAUGGGUUUCCCUCCCGUUUUAUUCUAAUAUUUUCGGGGCUGCG
rnacentral:lncRNA from 1 species